GAUGAACGCUGGCGGCGUGCCUAAUACAUGCAAGUCGAGCGAACAGACGAGGAGCUUGCUCCUCUGACGUUAGCGGCAGACGGGUGAGUAACACGUGGAUAACCUACCUAUAAGACUGGGAUAACUUCGGGAAACCGGAGCUAAUACCGGAUAAUAUAUUGAACCGCAUGGUUCAAUAGUGAAAGACGGUUUUGCUGUCACUUAUAGAUGGAUCCGCGCCGCAUUAGCUAGUUGGUAAGGUAACGGCUUACCAAGGCGACGAUGCGUAGCCGACCUGAGAGGGUGAUCGGCCACACUGGAACUGAGACACGGUCCAGACUCCUACGGGAGGCAGCAGUAGGGAAUCUUCCGCAAUGGGCGAAAGCCUGACGGAGCAACGCCGCGUGAGUGAUGAAGGUCUUCGGAUCGUAAAACUCUGUUAUUAGGGAAGAACAAAUGUGUAAGUAACUAUGCACGUCUUGACGGUACCUAAUCAGAAAGCCACGGCUAACUACGUG
rnacentral:rRNA from 1 species